AGAGUUUGAUCAUGGCUCAGGAUGAACGCUAGCGGCAGGCUUAAUACAUGCAAGUCGAACGGUAAGCGGGUAGCAAUACCUGCCUAGAGUGGCGCACGGGUGCGUAACGCGUAUGCAACCUACCUUUAACUGGGGGAUAGCCCGGAGAAAUUCGGAUUAAUACCCCAUAGUAACACUGAUGGGCAUCUGUUGGUGUUUAAAGCUUUUUUGCGGUUAGAGAUGGGCAUGCGUUCCAUUAGCUAGUUGGUGUGGUAAUGGCAGACCAAGGCUACGAUGGAUAGGGGACCUGAGAGGGCGAUCCCCCACACUGGUACUGAGACACGGACCAGACUCCUACGGGAGGCAGCAGUAAGGAAUAUUGGGCAAUGGACGCAAGUCUGACCCAGCCAUGCCGCGUGCAGGAAGACGGCCUUAUGGGUUGUAAACUGCUUUUGUCAGGGAAUAAAAGCCUGUACGGGAUACGGGUUUGCAGGUACCUGAAGAAUAAGCAUCGGCUAACUCCGUGCCAGCAGCCGCGGUAAUACGGAGGAUGCGAGCGUUAUCCGGAUUCAUUGGGUUUAAAGGGUGCGCAGGCGGGCGAAUAAGUCAGGGGUGAAAUUCCACGGCUCAACUGUGGGUCUGCCUUUGAUACUGUUUGUCUUGAGUUUAGUUGAGGUGGGCGGAAUGUAGCAUGUAGCGGUGAAAUGCAUAGAUAUGCUACAGAACACCGAUAGCGGAGGCAGCUCACCAAGCUAUAACUGACGCUCAUGCACGAAAGCGUGGGGAUCAAACAGGAUUAGAUACCCUGGUAGUCCACGCUGUAAACGAUGAUCACUCGUUGUUGGCGAUAAACAGUCAGCGGCUAAGCGAAAGUGAUAAGUGAUCCACCUGGGGAGUACGAUCGCAAGGUUGAAACUCAAAGGAAUUGACGGGGGCCCGCACAAGCGGUGGAGCAUGUGGUUUAAUUCGAUGAUACGCGAGGAACCUUACCUGGGCUUGAACGCUUGAUGAUAUUGGGAGAAAUCUCAAGUCCCUUCGGGGCGUUGAGCGAGGUGCUGCAUGGUUGUCGUCAGCUCGUGCCGUGAGGUGUCGGGUUAAGUCCCAUAACGAGCGCAACCCCUAUCAUUAGUUGCCAACAGGUUAGGCUGGGGACUCUAAUGAAACUGCCUACGCAAGUAGAGAGGAAGGUGGGGAUGACGUCAAAUCAGCACGGCCCUUACGUCCAGGGCUACACACGUGCUACAAUGGCCGGUACAGAGGGCAGCCACCUGGUGACAGGGAGCGAAUCUCGAAAGCCGGUCUCAGUUCGGAUCGAAGUCUGCAACCCGACUUCGUGAAGCUGGAAUCGCUAGUAAUCGCGCAUCAGCCAUGGCGCGGUGAAUACGUUCCCGGGUCUUGUACACACCGCCCGUCACACCAUGGGAGUGGGUUUCACCAGAAGUAGGUAGCUUAACCUUCGGGAGGGCGCUUACCACGGUGAGAUUCAUGACUGGGGUGAAGUCGUAACAAGGUAGCCGUA
rnacentral:rRNA from 1 species